rnacentral:rRNA from 1 species
AAUAGAUACCCUGGUAGUCCACGCCGUAAACGAUGGAUACUAGCUGUUUGAGCGCAAGUUUGAGUGGCUAAGCGAAAGUGAUAAGUAUCCCACCUGGGGAGUACGGGCGCAAGCCUGAAACUCAAAGGAAUUGACGGGGGCCCGCACAAGCGGUGGAGCAUGUGGUUUAAUUCGAUGAUACGCGAGGAACCUUACCAGGGCUUAAAUGUAGAUUGACGUAUUUGGAAACAGAUAUUUCUUCGGACAAUUUACAAGGUGCUGCAUGGUUGUCGUCAGCUCGUGCCGUGAGGUGUCAGGUUAAGUCCUAUAACGAGCGCAACCCCUGUUGUUAGUUGCCAGCGAGUAAUGUCGGGAACUCUAGCAAGACUGCCAGUGUAAACUGUGAGGAAGGUGGGGAUGACGUCAAAUCAUCACGGCCCUUACGUCCUGGGCCACACACGUGCUACAAUGGCCGGUACAGAGAGCAGCCACUUAGCGAUAAGGAGCGAAUCUAUAAAAGCCGGUCACAGUUCGGAUCGGGGU